rnacentral:rRNA from 1 species
AACGAACGCUGGCGGCAGGCUUAACACAUGCAAGUCGAACGCUCCGCAAGGAGAGUGGCAGACGGGUGAGUAACGCGUGGGAACCUGCCUAUUGGUUCGGAAUAGCUCAGGGAAACUUGGGGUAAUACCGGAUAAGCCCUACGGGUGAAAGAUUUAUCGCCAAUAGAUGGGCCCGCGUCUGAUUAGCUAGUUGGUGAGGUAAUGGCUCACCAAGGCGACGAUCAGUAGCUGGUUUGAGAGAAUGACCAGGCACACUGGGACUGAGACACGGUCCAGACUCCUACGGGAGGCAGCAGUGGGGAAUCUUGGACAAUGGGCGCAAGCCUGAUCCAGCCAUGCCGCGUGAGUGACGAAGGCCUUAGGGUUGUAAAGCUCUUUUAGCAGGGAAGAUAAUGACGGUACCUGCAGAAUAAGCCCCGGCUAACUUCGUGCCAGCCGCCGCGGUAA